GACGAACGCUAGCGGCGGGCUUAAUACAUGCAAGUUUAGGGGUUCAGCAAUGGACACCGGCGGACGGGUGCGUAACACGUAUGCAACCUGCCCUUUACUGGAGGAUACUCCGGAGAAAUUCGGCACAACACUCCAUAUACUCAUACUUUCGCAUGGGAGAAUGAGGAAAGGUUACGGUAAAGGAUGGGCAUGCGUCUGAUUAGCUAGUUGGCGAGGUAACGGCUCACCAAGGCGACGAUCAGUAGCUGGUCUGAGAGGAUGAUCAGCCACACUGGCACUGAGAUACGGGCCAGACUCCUACGGGAGGCAGCAGUAGGGAAUAUUGGUCAAUGGGCGAAAGCCUGAACCAGCCACGCCGCGUGCAGGAAGAAGGUCCUCUGGAUUGUAAACUGCUUUGCCAAGGGAUAAAGAGAGGCUAUACGCCUAAAUGAAGGUACUUGGUGAAUAAGCCACGGCUAACUACGUGCCAGCAGCCGCGGUAA
rnacentral:rRNA from 1 species